CUCUUUUAUUCAAGCCAUAAUGUUCUUUAUUUUCUAGGGUAAAGGUGCAAAAGCCUUGCGCAAGAAAGAAAAAAGAAAACUGAGAAAAGCUGAACAGGAUCAAAAUAUUGUUGUUGAAGACACUGAAUUACUGAGUAAAGCUCAGUUAAAAAAAUUAGUGAGACAGCCAACAAAUAAUAUUCGGCCAUCAGGUAAAAGAAAAAGGAAAAUGCUGAAAAGAUUGAGACAUUCACAAAAGGAGGAAAAUCACAUGGAUGUUGAGGUUGCAAGUGGUGCUGGUGGUGGAAGAAGGUCAAAGGUCAAGGACAUUGCCAUGAAACCAAAUGAAGAAAUGUGUGACAAUGAAUAGACAACAAAAGAUGCUUAAAUGUCAUGAUCUGUUGAUAAUCUACUUUAAAAGGAUUUACUGUUAAAGUACUACUUAAGCUAACAAUUAACACUUCUUUAUAAAGACUAGAUUUGAAAUACAUUUCUUUCAGGACUUUCAUUUAUUCUGUACCAUAAUCAUAUGAUAAAGAGAUUAUCAUUU